GACGAACGCUGGCGGCGUGCCUAAUACAUGCAAGUCGAGCGAAGUUUUUCUGGUGCUUGCACUAGAAACACUUAGCGGCGAACGGGUGAGUAACACGUAAAGAACCUGCCUCAUAGACUGGGACAACUAUUGGAAACGAUAGCUAAUACCGGAUAACAGUAUUUCUCGCAUGAGAGAUAUUUAAAAGUUGGUUAUGCUAACACUAUGAGAUGGCUUUGCGGUGCAUUAGCUAGUUGGCGGGGUAAAGGCCCACCAAGGCGACGAUGCAUAGCCGACCUGAGAGGGUGAUCGGCCACACUGGGACUGAGACACGGCCCAGACUCCUACGGGAGGCAGCAGUAGGGAAUCUUCCGCAAAGGGCGAAAGCCUGACGGAGCAACGCCGCGUGAGUGAAGAAGGAUUUCGGUUCGUAAAGCUCUGUUGUUAGGGAAGAAUGGAUAUGUAGUAACUAUACAUGUAAGAGACGGUACCUAACCAGAAAGCCACGGCUAACUACGUG
rnacentral:rRNA from 1 species